rnacentral:rRNA from 1 species
UACGUAGGGGGCUAGCGUUGUCCGGAAUCAUUGGGCGUAAAGCGCGCGUAGGCGGCCCGGUAAGUCCGCUGUGAAAGUCAAAGGCUCAACCUUUGAAUGUCAGCGGAUACUGCCGGGCUAGAGUCCGGAAGAGGCGAGUGGAACUCCUGGUGUAGCGGUGGAAUGCGCAGAAAUCAGGAAGAACACCAACGGCGAAGGCAGCUCGCUGGGACGGAACUGACGCUGAGGCGCGAAAGCGUGGGGAGCGAACAGG